UACAGAGGGUGCAAGCGUUGUUCGGAAUUACUGGGCGUAAAGCGCGUGUAGGCGGUCCAUCAAGUCUUGUGUGAAAGCCCUGGGCUCAACCCAGGAAGUGCGCAAGAAACUGUUGGGCUGGAGUGUCGGAGAGGAUGGCGGAAUUCCCGGUGUAGAGGUGAAAUUCGUAGAUAUCGGGAGGAACACCUGUGGCGAAGGCGGCCAUCUGGACGAUAACUGACGCUGAGACGCGAAAGCAUGGGGAGCAAACAGG
rnacentral:rRNA from 1 species